rnacentral:rRNA from 1 species
CCUACGGGUGGCAGCAGUGGGGGAUAUUGGACAAUGGGGGAAACCCUGAUCCAGCGACGCCGCGUGAGUGAAGAAGUAUUUCGGUAUGUAAAGCUCUAUCAGCAGGGAAGAAAGAAAUGACGGUACCUGAGUAAGAAGCCCCGGCUAACUACGUGCCAGCAGCCGCGGUAAGACGGAGGAUGCGAGCGUUAUCCGGAUUUAUUGGGUUUAAAGGGUGCGCAGGCGGAAGAUCAAGUCAGCGGUAAAAUUGAGAGGCUCAACCUCUUCGAGCCGUUGAAACUGGUUUUCUUGAGUGAGCGAGAAGUAUGCGGAAGUCGUGGUGUAGCGGUGAAAUGCAUAGAUAUCACGCAGAACUCCGAUUGCGAAGGCAGCAUACCGGCGCUCAACUGACGCUCAUGCACGAAAGUGUGGGUAUCGAACAGGAUUAGAUACCCGUGUAGUC